GCGCCGAUGGUUUAGUGGUAAAAUUCUCCGUUGCCAUCGGGGUGCUGGGGGUUCGAUUCCCCCUCGGCGCA
rnacentral:tRNA from 1 species